rnacentral:rRNA from 1 species
AUUAGGAAUCUUGCGCAAUGGGCGAAAGCCUGACGCAGCGACGUCGCGUGGGGGAGGAAGGCUUUCGGGUUGUAAACCCCUUUUAUCGAGGAAGAAACAAAUGACGGUACUCGAUGAAUAAGCCCCGGCUAACUCCGUGCCAGCAGCCGCGGUAAUACGGAGGGGGCUAGCGUUGUCCGAAGUUACUGGGCGUAAAGCGCGCGUAGGCGGGUUGGUAAGUCCGCUGUGAAAGCCCGGAGCUCAACUCCGGAGGGUCGGUGGAUACUGCCAGUCUUGAAGGUGCUAGGGGGAGAUGGAAUUACCGGUGUAGCGGUGAAAUGCGUAGAUAUCGGUAGGAACACCAGUGGCGAAGGCGGUCUCCUGGGGCAUUCUUGACGCUGAGGCGCGAAAGCUGGGGGAGCAAACG